UACGAAGGGGGCUAGCGUUGCUCGGAAUUACUGGGCGUAAAGCGCACGUAGGCGGCUUUCUAAGUCGGGGGUGAAAUCCUGGAGCUCAACUCCAGAACUGCCUUCGAUACUGGAAAGCUCGAGUCCGGGAGAGGUGAGUGGAACUGCGAGUGUAGAGGUGAAAUUCGUAGAUAUUCGCAAGAACACCAGUGGCGAAGGCGGCUCACUGGCCCGGUACUGACGCUGAGGUGCGAAAGCGUGGGGAGCAAACGGG
rnacentral:rRNA from 1 species